rnacentral:rRNA from 1 species
UACGUAGGGGGCCAGCGUUGCUCGGAAUUACUGGGCGUAAAGGGUUCGUAGGUGGUGCGGCAAGUUGGGAGUGAAAUCUCUGGGCUUAACCCAGAGGCUGCUUUCAAAACUGCCGCGCUCGAGUGCGAGAGAGGUCAGUGGAAUUGCAGGUGUAGCGGUGUAAUGCGUAGAUAUCUGCAGGAACACCCGUGGCGAAGGCGGCUGACUGGAUCGCAACUGACACUGAGGCGCGACAGCGUGGGGAGCAAACAGG